rnacentral:rRNA from 1 species
GACGAACGCUGGCGGCGUGCUUAACACAUGCAAGUCGAACGGAAAGGCCCUGCUUGCAGGGUACUCGAGUGGCGAACGGGUGAGUAACACGUGGGUGAUCUGCCCUGCACUUCGGGAUAAGCUUGGGAAACUGGGUCUAAUACCGGAUAGGAGCCAUCUUUAGUGUGGUGGUUGGAAAGUUUUUUCGGUGUAGGAUGAGCUCGCGGCCUAUCAGCUUGUUGGUGGGGUAAUGGCCUACCAAGGCGGCGACGGGUAGCCGGCCUGAGAGGGUGUACGGCCACAUUGAGACUGAGAUACGGCCCAGACUCCUACGGGAGGCAGCAGUGGGGAAUAUUGCACGAUGGGCGCAGGCCUGAUGCAGCGACGCCGCGGGGGGGAUGAAGGCCUUCGGGUUGUAAACUCCUUUCGCUAGGGACGAAGCUUUUUGUGACGGUACCUAGAGAAGAAGCACCGGCUAACUACGUG